rnacentral:rRNA from 1 species
UACGUAGGGUGCAAGCGUUAAUCGGAAUUACUGGGCGUAAAGCGUGCGCAGGCGGCUUUGCAAGACAGAUGUGAAAUCCCCAGGCUCAACCUGGGAACUGCGUCCGAUACUGGCAGGCUUGAAUCCGGGAGAGGGAUGCGGAAUUCCAGGUGUAGCGGUGAAAUGCGUAGAUAUCUGGAGGAACACCGGUGGCGAAGGCGGCAUCCUGGACCGGUAUUGACGCUGAGGCGCGAAAGCCAGGGGAGCAAAGCGGGG